CAAUAAACUGAAACAAGAAAAUAGUUUUUUUUUGUUUAAAAAAUCCGCUUCGUAGCCAGUACGAACUGUGAUAAAAAUUAAGCAGUUUGUGGUGAGAUCUCAGUUUUAUCAGAAAAUCUACUCCAAAUAUAGCUUAGCAGUUGUGGUGUCUACGGUAAAUGAAGUUACGGGUAAAUUUAAUGUUGCGGUUACGAAGUUUGAAGUUUGCAAAGGGCCCAAAAGUAAAGACUGCGUUUUAAUCACUGGCCGCGUAGAAAAUCGUACACGAAUUUAUUACAAUAUGAAUGUUCUGGAAAAAAUGGCGCCUACUAAUGGGAAAAUCUUGACAACAUCCAACAACAACGAGAUUAUGAGGUUACACAUGAAUAAACCCUGCGAUCACCUCUUCAUUAGACCGAUACUCCACAUGGUACUGAAUGUGAC